AACUGCAUUUGUGACUGCAUCGCUGGAGUGCGGCAGAGGGGGAUGGAAUUCCGCGUGUAGCAGUGAAAUGCGUAGAUAUGCGGAGGAACACCGAUGGCGAAGGCAAUCCCCUGGGCCUGCACUGACGCUCAUGCACGAAAGCGUGGGGAGCAAACAGGAUUAGAUACCCUGGUAGUCCACGCCCUAAACGAUGUCAACUGGUUGUUGGGUCUUCACUGACUCAGUAACGAAGCUAACGCGUGAAGUUGACCGCCUGGGGAGUACGGCCGCAAGGUUGAAACUCAAAUAAAUUGACGGG
rnacentral:rRNA from 1 species